UUCUUAUCCAGAGAGAUGGAGGGAUAUGGCCCUGUGAAAUCUCGGCAGCGGGUUUCUUUUAUAAGAAAUACUGUGCUAAUUCCAGCAAGAAUUUAUUUUCUUGAAAGAUAAGAA
rnacentral:ncRNA from 2 species